rnacentral:rRNA from 1 species
UACGGAGGGUGCGAACGUUAAUCGGAAUCACUGGGCGUAAAGCGCGCGUAGGCGGUUUGUUAAGUGGGAUGUGAAAUCCCCGGGCUUAACCUGGGAAUUGCAUUUCAACUGGCCGACUAGAGUACGGUAGAGGGAGGUAGAAUUCCUGUGUAGCGGUGAAAUGCGUAGAUAUAGGAAGGAAUACCAGUGGCGAAGGCGGCCUCCUGGAUCGAUACUGACGCUGAGGCGCGAAAGCGUGGGGAGCAAACAGGG